UACGAAGGGGGCGAGCGUUGUUCGGAUUUACUGGGCGUAAAGGGCGCGUAGGCGGCCAGCACAAGUCAGUUGUGAAAUCUCCGGGCUUAACUCGGAAAGGUCAACUGAUACUGUGCGGCUAGAGUGCAGAAGGGGCAACUGGAAUUCUCGGUGUAGCGGUGAAAUGCGUAGAUAUCGAGAGGAACACCAGUGGCGAAGGCGAGUCUCUGGACAUUUCCUGACGCUGAGGCACGAAAGCCAGGGGAGCAAACGGG
rnacentral:rRNA from 1 species